rnacentral:rRNA from 1 species
CUUAGUACGGCGAGUGAAGCGGCAAAAGCUCAAAUUUGAAAUCUGGUACCUUCGGUGCCCGAGUUGUAAUUUGGAGAGGGCAACUUUGGGGCCGUUCCUUGUCUAUGUUCCUUGGAACAGGACGUCAUAGAGGGUGAGAAUCCCGUGUGGCGAGGAGUGCGGUUCUUUGUAAAGUGCCUUCGAAGAGUCGAGUUGUUUGGGAAUGCAGCUCUAAGUGGGUGGUAAAUUCCAUCUAAAGCUAAAUAUUGGCGAGAGACCGAUAGCGAACAAGUACAGUGAUGGAAAGAUGAAAAGAACUUUGAAAAGAGAGUGAAAAAGUACGUGAAAUUGUUGAAAGGGAAGGGCAUUUGAUCAGACAUGGUGUUUUGUGCCCUCUGCUCCUUGUGGGUAGGGGAAUCUCGCAUUUCACUGGGCCAGCAUCAGUUUUGGUGGCAGGAUAAAUCCAUAGGAAUGUAGCUUGCCUCGGUAAGUAUUAUAGCCUGUGGGAAUACUGCCAGCUGGGACUGAGGACUGCGACGUAAGUCAAGGAUGCUGGCAUAAUGGUUAUAUGCCGCCCGUCUUGAAACA